GCGUGGGGGAGGACGGCCUGUGGGUUGUAAACCGCUUUUCUCAGGGAAGAACACAAUGACGGUACCUGAGGAAUCAGCCUCGGCUAACUCCGUGCCAGCAGCCGCGGUAAUACGGAGGAGGCAAGCGUUAUCCGGAAUGAUUGGGCGUAAAGCGUUCGUAGGUGGCAAUUCAAGUCUGCUGUCAAAGACAGUAGCUCAACUACUGCAAGGCAGUGGAAACUGAAUAGCUAGAGUGCGGUAGGGGCAGAGGGAAUUCCCGGUGUAGCGGUGAAAUGCGUAGAGAUCGGGAAGAACACCGGUGGCGAAAGCGCUCUGCUGGGCCGCAACUGACACUGAGGGACGAAAGCUAGGGGAGCGAAUGGGAUUAGAUACCCCAGUAGUC
rnacentral:rRNA from 1 species